AAAUUGAAGAGUUUGAUCAUGGCUCAGAUUGAACGCUGGCGGCAGGCCUAACACAUGCAAGUCGAACGGUAACAGGAAACAGCUUGCUGUUUCGCUGACGAGUGGCGGACGGGUGAGUAAUGUCUGGGAAACUGCCUGAUGGAGGGGGAUAACUACUGGAAACGGUAGCUAAUACCGCAUAACGUCGCAAGACUAAAGAGGGGGACCUUCGGGCCUCUUGCCAUCGGAUGUGCCCAGAUGGGAUUAGCUUGUUGGUGGGGUAACGG
rnacentral:rRNA from 1 species